UGAGUUAGGCUUCAGAGGCAGCGCUGGGUAGGCCUGAGAGGAGCAAGCACAGUGGGAGGCCCAACCUCAGACCACACUCAUCUGGAUUUCCAGAGGUCUCCAGGAGGCAAGGACUAUUUGGUGGCCCUGCUUCACCCAACUGCUCUUCUAGCAUUCUCCACAUCAUGUGCUAUGAGUUGGAUUCGAUCAGAAUUCUCACCACUGGUUCUAAGUCAGAAUCAUCUGGAGAGCAAGAAGCAGAAUGUCUGAAAUCUUCCUAUGGUACAGAACUGCUGGAUGAGACCAUCAGUGGGAAUUUGGCUAUGAAUGACAAAUAAAUAAAAAUAUGCCUACAUCUAAAAA
rnacentral:lncRNA from 1 species